rnacentral:rRNA from 1 species
GACGAACGCUGGCGGCGUGCCUAAUACAUGCAAGUCGAGCGCAGGAAACCGCCAGAACCCUUCGGGGGGACGACGGUGGAAUGAGCGGCGGACGGGUGAGUAACACGUAAAGAACCUGCCCAUAGGUCUGGGAUAACCACGAGAAAUCGGGGCUAAUACCGGAUGUGUCAUCGGACCGCAUGGUCCGCUGAUGAAAGGCGCUCCGGCGUCGCCCAUGGAUGGCUUUGCGGUGCAUUAGCUAGUUGGUGGGGUAACGGCCCACCAAGGCGACGAUGCAUAGCCGACCUGAGAGGGUGAUCGGCCACACUGGGACUGAGACACGGCCCAGACUCCUACGGGAGGCAGCAGUAGGGAAUCUUCCACAAUGGACGAAAGUCUGAUGGAGCAACGCCGCGUGAACGAUGAAGGCUUUCGGGUCGUAAAGUUCUGUUGUAAGGGAAGAACAAGUGCCGCAGGCAAUGGCGGCACCUUGACGGUACCUUGCGAGAAAGCCACGGCUAACUACGUGCCAGCCGCCGCCGUAA